rnacentral:rRNA from 1 species
GGCUCAGGAUGAACGCUGGCGGUCUGCUUAACACAUGCAAGUCGAACGCAACCUUCGGGUUGAGUGGCGGACGGGUGGGUAACGCGUGAGAAUCUGCCUUGGGGUCGGGGACAACCACUGGAAACGGUGGCUAAUACCGGAUAAGCCUUUGGGUAUAAAAUUUAUUGCCCCAAGAGGAGCUCGCGUCUGAUUAGCUAGUUGGUGAGGUAAAAGCUCACCAAGGCAGCGAUCAGUAGCUGGUCUGAGAGGACGAUCAGCCACACUGGGACUGAGACACGGCCCAGACUCCUACGGGAGGCAGCAGUGGGGAAUUUUCCGCAAUGGGCGAAAGCCUGACGGAGCAAGACCGCGUGAGGGAGGAAGGCUCUUGGGUUGUAAACCUCUUUUCUCAGGGAAGAAGCUCUGACGGUACCUGAGGAAUCAGCAUCGGCUAACUCCGUGCCAGCAGCCGCGGCAAUACGGAGGAUGCAGGCGUUAUCCGGAUUUAUUAGGUUUAAAGGGUGUCUAGGCUGCCACAUAAGUCAGGGGUGAAAGUCGGUUGCUCAACAAUCGAAUUGCCUUUGAAACUGUGUGGCUCGAGUAUAGAUGAGGUAGGCGGAAUGUGUAGUGUAGCGGUGAAAUGCAUAGAUAUUACACAGAACCCCAAUUGCGAAGGCAGCUUACCAAACUAUUACUGACGCUGAAGCACGAAAGCGUGGGUAGCGAACAGGAUUAGAUACCCUGGUAGUCCACGCCGUAAACUAUGCUCACUCGCUGUUGGCAAUAGAUCGUCAGCGGCUAACGGAAACCGAUAAGUGAGCCACCUGGGGAGUACGAUCGCAAGAUUGAAACUCCAAGGAAUUGACGGCGGCCCGCACAAGCGGAGGAACCUGUGCGUUUAUUCGAUG